UACAGAGGUGCUCAAGCGUUGUUUCGGAUUCAUUGGGGCGUAAAAGGGGUGCGUAGGCGGCGCGGUAAGUCGGGUGUGAAAAUCUCUGGGCUCAACCCCAGAGGCUGCUUCCGAAACUGCUGUGCUUGAGUGUGGGAGAGGCGCGUGGAAUUGCAGGUGUAGCGGUGAAAUGCGUAGAUAUCUGCAGGAACACCCGUGGCGAAAGCGGCGCGCUGGACCACUACUGACGCUGAAGAACGAAAGCUAGGGGAGCAAACAGG
rnacentral:rRNA from 1 species